GAUGAAGAACGCAGCGAAAUGCGAUACGUAAUGUGAAUUGCAGAAUUCAGCGAAUCAUCGAAUCUUUGAACGCAUAUUGCGCUCUCUGGUAUUCCGGAGAGCAUGCUUGUUUGAGUAUCAGUAAACACCUCAACUCCCCUUUCUUUUUUUGAAAUGGGAGCUGGACUUGAGUGAUCCCAACGCUUUUCUCACCGAAAAGUGGCGGGUUACUUGAAAUGCAGGUGCAGCUGGACUUUUCUCUGAGCUAAAAGCAUAUCUAUUUAGUCUGCCUAAAAAACAGAUUAUUACCUUUGCUGCAGCUAACAUAAAGGAGAUUAGUUCUUGUGCUGACUGAUGCAGGAUUCACAGAGACAGCUUCGGCUGGCCUUUGUAAACUCGAUCUCAAAUCAAGUAAGACUACCCGCUGAACUUAAGCAUAUCAAUAAGCGGAGGA
rnacentral:misc_RNA from 1 species